CAUGCAAGUCGAACGAGGUAAGUAAGAUGAAGUUUUCGGAUGGAUUCUUAUUUACCGAGUGGCGGACGGGUGAGUAACGCGUGGGUAACCUGCCUCAUACAGGGGGAUAACGGUUAGAAAUGACUGCUAAUACCGCAUAAGUGCACAGUACCGCAUGGUACGGUGUGAAAAACUCCGGUGGUAUGAGAUGGACCCGCGUCUGAUUAGCUAGUUGGUGAGGUAACGGCCCACCAAGGCGACGAUCAGUAGCCGACCUGAGAGGGUGACCGGCCACAUUGGGACUGAGACACGGCCCAGACUCCUACGGGAGGCAGCAGUGGGGGAUAUUGCACAAUGGAGGAAACUCUGAUGCAGCGACGCCGCGUGAGUGAAGAAGUAUUUCGGUAUGUAAAGCUCUAUCAGCAGGGAAGAAAAUGACGGUACCUGACUAAGAAGCCCCGGCUAACUACGUGCCAGCAGCCGCGGUAAUACGUAGGGGGCAAGCGUUAUCCGGAUUUACUGGGUGUAAAGGGAGCGUAGACGGCGACGCAAGUCUGAAGUGAAAUACCCGGGCUCAACCUGGGAACUGCUUUGGAAACUGUGUUGCUAGAGUGCUGGAGAGGUAAGCGGAAUUCCUAGUGUAGCGGUGAAAUGCGUAGAUAUUAGGAAGAACACCAGUGGCGAAGGCGGCUUACUGGACAGUAACUGACGUUGAGGCUCGAAAGCGUGGGG
rnacentral:rRNA from 1 species